rnacentral:lncRNA from 1 species
AGUUACUGAAAAGAGGAAGAGUAACAACCACAGAAACAAAAUACAGGUCUUGAUUCUCAUCAAAAUUCACAAAUAAAACCUCAAAAAUAAAUUCAACAACUACACCAAAAUCAUGGGAGAACGAACUAUAAAGCACUUUUCACCUUGUAAUUCCUCUCACAAGUCCCCAAUUGUACCCCACAAGCACAGAUUGCUUAAAGCCAGCAUUAAAACCGUCUUGUGCUGAGGCUUCUUUUCCUGCCAUUAUCCCAUAUCUAUAGCCAAUAUGAGUCGAUGUCAAGAAUUUCAUCUCAAUUUAAUGACCCUUCACAACAUAAAAAUACGAAAAGCUUUGAGCAGAAGGGAACAUGAAAACCAAUAUGGUAAACUUAAGGAUACAGUAUGAAAAUGACCGUGCCUCCUUUCCCAUUCUCUCUGUAAGUCGGAUGAUGCGCUCAAUUUCUUAUCAUCAAAAGUUUCUUCUUCACACCAUGGGA